GCGAAAGUGGUGAAAUUGGCAGACACGUCAGACUUAGGAUCUGGCGCCUUACGGCGUGGGGGUUCAAUUCCCCCCUUUCGCA
rnacentral:tRNA from 1 species